UAACGCGUAGACAACCUGCCUUCUACAUGGGGACAACACUGCCAAAGUGGUGCUAAUACCGAAUGUUGUAUUGAGCCUGCAUGGGCUCGAUACUAAAGGUGGCCUCUAUUUAUAAUCUAUCACUAGAAGAUGGGUCUGCGUCUGAUUACCUAGUUGGUGAGGUAAUGGCUCACCAAGGCGAUGAUC
rnacentral:rRNA from 1 species